rnacentral:tRNA from 1 species
UAGAUAUUAGUAAAAUAAUUACAAAGCCUUGUCAUGGCCUAAUUAUAAGUUAAAACCUUAUAUAUCUAU